AAGAAAUUGAGGAUGAGCCAAUAUGA
rnacentral:piRNA from 1 species